CUACGGGGCGCACCAGUGAGGAAUAUUGCGCAAUGGACGAAAGUCUGACGCAGCCAUGCCGCGUGCAGGAUGACGGCGCUAUGCGUUGUAAACUGCUUUUAUAUGCCAAGAAACCUUCGGACGUGUCCGAAGCUGACGGUAGCAUAUGAAUAAGCACCGGCUAACUCCGUGCCAGCAGUCGCGGUAAUACGGAGGGUGCAAGCGUUAUCCGGAUUUAUUGGGUUUAAAGGGUCCGUAGGCGGAUCAUUAAGUCAGUGGUGAAAGCCGGCAGCUCAACUGUCGAACUGCCAUUGAUACUGGUGAUCUUGAAUACGGUUGAAGUUGGCGGAAUAGGUCAUGUAGCGGUGAAAUGCUUAGAUAUGACCUAGAACACCGAUUGCGAAGGCAGCCAACUAAGCCGUUAUUGACGCUGAGGGACGAAAGCGUGGGGAGCGAACAGGAUUAGAUACCGGUAGUC
rnacentral:rRNA from 1 species